rnacentral:rRNA from 1 species
UACGUAGGGUGCAAGCGUUGUCCGGAAUUAUUGGGCGUAAAGAGCUCGUAGGCGGUCUGUCGCGUCGUCCGUGAAAACCUGCAGCUCAACUGCAGGCUUGCGGUCGAUACGGGCAGGCUAGAGUUCGGUAGGGGAGACUGGAAUUCCUGGUGUAGCGGUGAAAUGCGCAGAUAUCAGGAGGAACACCGGUGGCGAAGGCGGGUCUCUGGGGCCGAUGACUGACGCUGAGGAGCGAAAGCGUGGGGAGCGAACAGG